rnacentral:ribozyme from 1 species
GACAUGAACAACUAAAGACGAAAAGAAGUACACGCGCACACACAAAAAAAAAAGAAACCAAAAAGCGUAAAACUCUCUGCUACCCUUCCCUUCUUUCAUUUUUUGAAGUUCUUUUCCUUUUCACAAUUUUCUUUUUCUUCAUUUAUA